rnacentral:lncRNA from 1 species
AUGACCAUGAAGAUAUUUGUGACUGGUUUGAAAAAGAUUAGGUGUUUUUUAUAUGGGGCCAUUUUGUUUUUCAUUUUCUUUCAACUAUACUGUAAAACCGUAUGAAUGCAUGAACUGACCAGACCUUAUCUCCGUCUCCCACUCUCAUAUUUUUUCCUGGGUGUGGCCCUUUUGUUUUUGCAGAGAGCGCCGUGCAGCUGCUAAACACGAACCACGCUGUGUCCUUGGGUAUCCUACGUGUCGACAGUCAACACCAACACCUCCGAAGAGAAAACCACGUGUGGAUCGUUCCAUCCGUGGUCCCUUUUUACAUGAAUGUUCGCAUCCCACCAUUUUAAUCCAACUUUGACAACUACUUUAACUAAAGCGAAUCAAGAAAGUGACAU